UAUCGCUACAAUAUUAUUUAUUUUUAUUUUUAGUUAUUUUAUUUAAAUAUUCUGAUAUCAUAUUUUCUAAAUCUUCUAAUUUUUUAUAUUUUUAGAAUAAAUAUGUAAUUAUUACGGGCGACAAAGAAUCAAUCGCAGGCCCAAUCAACGGCCCAUAUUAAAGCAGCUGCUUCAACUAUUGACGUCAUCCCUAGUCCAUACGCAGCGUGCUUUCACGCGACAUAUAAAAGCCACCCAGUACUGCGCUCUCUUCCUCGUCGACGGGAAGGGAGAGCGAGAUCGAAUUAGGGUUCGAACAAGACUCGCAACUUCUACAUGAUUCCUCCCCUUCAAUCCUCACCCCGAUUUCCUUCGGGCGUUGUCUCUUCGUUUAAUCCGUUUCGUUCUACGGUUUCCUCCUAUUUGAUCGGAGCAAUCAAGAGGCGUCUUCAAUUAUGAUUGUUUCCUCUCCUUUUGCGCUCGCGUCCAUCGUUGCGCCUAUCUCCGCUCCUUCGGCCCCGGGUUGAAUCCAUUCGCGCCCUUUGGGUGCUUUUCUCAUCGUCGUGGCGACUAUCUGAAGCCUUUUAUCUUGUUUUCGGGUUGGGUUCUUUGUUGCGUGCUCUCCCGGGACACUUGUGCUGGAAAAAGAAGUGUGAUUUGGUCGAGAAGUUGCGGGGUAUAGAACUUUGAUUUCUUCUUUGUCAUCGUGGUCGAAUCUUGGGCUGGGUGGAAUAUGUAUCCUGAGAAGCAGUUUAAGGCUCGGAGCUACCUGUCCAGCAGGCGAUUUUUCAAGCAGAGGCUUAGGGAGAGGAAUGACAGAGGUUGGACCCUGCUUCACAUUGGUUCCAGAAAGGGUGACUCGAAAGAGGUUGGUGUUCUUGAAUCUUGACUCACCUAUCGGACUAAUUAUAAUUGCAUUUAUAGUUCAAGUUGUCUACAAGAUUCUUAUUUGUCUAACGCUUCUAGAGGUAUUGAGAUAUCAGGUUGGUAUUGUCAGAUUUUCUAAAUAUUUUAAUUCAGUUAUUUGGAGAGUUAAAAAGAUGGCACGCCCUGGAUUAUGUUAGGGAAAGUUGAUGUAAGCGGAAAAUUGGGGUUGGAUGGAUAAAGUAGAUGAUGGAAUUAUAAGAGUCAAUAUAUUUAAUAUUCUGUAUAUCCUUUCACAUAGAGAUAAGCAGUCAAGAUUCUUUGUUGCAUGCUUUCCGGAACAAGCUAGUCUCAAGUUCUAAGUUAAGCUGUACAAUUGUUCAAGUAGAUUAAGCUUGACUUUGGCACGAUCUUAACACUGAAGAGCUGAAGUAGAAAGGAAAAAGUGUUGUUAUUUUUUAAUCUUUGCAUGUGGUUCAUGCUAUUACUGAUGGUCUGCUCAAGUUCUUGUGUAGGUGCUUCCUUCUGAUUGAAGAAUCCAGAAGUCAUAUGCAGCAUAGCAGAUACAUAAGCCCCAUUUUAUAACAUCAAAGUUCAUAAUUAAGACAUGAGUCAGAAACUUCUUGGAAAUUGCUUAAAGUUUCAAAAUGUUUUGCUUUAACCAAGGUCUGUCAUACCGAAGCGUACCGCCCAUACCGGGCGAUACGUACCGGUCCGACAGGUUACCGGUACGCGGACCGUCCUGGAUCGCUAUAGUGCUACAGUAUUAUACUGUAGCACUGCUACAAUAUGAAAAAGUAUAAAAUUAUUCGGUACACCAGGGUGUACCGCUCGGUACGCCCUGAUGUACUACCCGGUACACCGGUACCGUACCGUAUCGAGUCCGGGUUGAAACGUCGGUACGGUACAGUACGACGAACCUUCGUAACAGCAAACCUUGGCUUUGACAAACCCAAAAGUGAGACCAUAACUUCGCCCUAUCAACUAUGUAUAUUCUUAUUGCCUCUCAUAUACAUAUCAAUAGGGUUCGUUUUAUCGGUCCAUAUCAAUGUAUCGACUAGUCGUUGGUAUGAUACAUACCAAUUUGUACCGACAUACCUUAUGUCGGUAUGGUGGAGCAUACUGACAGUAUGGAAAAAUAUCCAAAAAUAGCUCCAAAAGUUUUUAAAAAUAAACAAGUUAGGUUAAGAUUUUUAAGUUAGAAAUAAAUAUAAAUUUAGUAUGAUUUUAGCAAAAAAUAAUCUAAAUUAGGAAAGAAUAGUAGCACAUCUUUUUGGACUUUGAGGAGUAGCUUUGUUGUACGUUCCAUACUGUCCUUCUGUUGAUAUUGAAUUAUCUAUAAAGAAAUUAUUUGACUUGUUAGAUUAUUUUUUAAACAAUUUAAACUUUAAAAUUCAAAUGAAUUAAGUAAUUAAUCAAUGAAUAUACUUGUUCUACCACCAAAAAGAACGAUGAGACUCCACGGGCAGUGGGAGGGCCCUUGAUCUUAUGCAUUUGUAUAUUAAUUUGAUAUGCUUGUUGGACAUAAUCUUGAAAUUGAUCCCAUGACAUGGUAUAUUAAUAGAUCGUCUGUCAUUGGUACAUCAAUGUGGUGAUGGUCGUAGUUUGAUCGUUGUGAACCACAUGUGUCCGAGGUGGCUCCUAAGGCAAGGAUGAUUAUGGUAUGCAUUAGUGCGGAGCAUAGAGAAUGUCAAAAUUUCUAUUUUCGUCAAUAAUAUGUUGCUUCAUAUCAUAACAUUGAUCAUCGUACUAUUACUCUGUGUUACCGAAUGAUAACAAUGAAUACGAUGAGUUUUGCUCAGUGUCUAUGUCAUGUAGGCUAUGUCGCUUUUGCUCAAAAUCAUCAACUCCCUUCCCUUUUCUCUUAUGUGUAUAAACUUGACUAGUAUCUUGUCGAGCUCCAUGAUCUGAAUCUUGGGUGACGUGUAAAAUACUGCUUUGCGGUCCAUGCGCUAUCUAUAAAUUAUGUAGAUCGAACUAUUGACUUCUCGGUGUCAUCGCCAUCAUUGGCCGCUAUCAUGUCUCUAGACCGAGUUGGUUGUUGAAUGUAAUUAAAAAAGUGUCUCGUCGACCGAUUCGAUUCUUUUCAACGGUGCAACUGAUGUUAUUGUCAUCCCCUUUGCCUUUGCCAUUGCACGCUACAGAUGACUGUGAUGAUUUGGUAUCUCUAGCUCCUUGAGCAGUUUGACUUGAUAUUGUUCGGCUCCUUCUACCACAUUCUAAUCGAGGGGGAUCUUCCUCCUGCUAGGGAUGUACUUCCUGUUCUUAUAUUGCCUCGGUGAUAAAACGCGAAGGACGUGAAGGGGGCAUAUGGCUGUAAGUUUUACUUGUUUAAGCUAAUUGUUUGAUGAGAAAAACUUUUGGAACUAUAUAAUGUUAACCAACAACAGGAUUUGCUUUUGAGAAUCAUUAGUCGUGUUUUCUUUGUUGUGCAACUUUUCUUCUGUCUAAAAGAGUGUCUAGAGCUCCAUCAAUGCUAAUUCUUGCUUUACUGGGAAAAUCUACUCGUGAACAUGGUUAAUUGUUUUUCUCGAUAGGCGCUUAAACCAUUUUUUUUCUUUGACAACACCCUUUUUUUUUCCCUAUCACGCCUCAAUCACAUAAGAUAUGUGGUACGUCUUCAUAUAGUUAGGUCUAUAUUUUCCUCUUGUUUCAGUUAUGGUUGUCCGUGCCUGAUGAUUUUCUCCCUGACUGUACAAGAGAAACAUGUUGCAUAUUAGUCCAAUGCAAAGUCUUUUACUUCAUUCUACUGCUACCUUUUUUCAAUCUUUUGAAUUUUCAGCUGCAAUGUUUAUGGUGUAAAUUAUUAAUGAAGUGUAGCUUAUUUCUUUGCACAACAGGCCUGUAUCUGGUGUAUAUAUGUUUCUAGUUACCACAGUGAUGUCAUAAUCAACACACUGUUUAAGAUUUAGGAACAAUAUUUUGUGGCAUUUUCUACUGAUUGUAUCAACUGGCAUAACCCUUUGUGUUUGUAGGAUCAAUCCUUUGUUUAGGGCCUUUAGGCCCACUUGGUAUUGGGACCAAGUUGCUUCAUAUCAAACAAACUACCUUCAAUAUCAACUUCUGCAUUUUAAGAAUAUGCUUAAUAUCUUAAUCUGAUGCCAAUCAUCUGCCAUCUUAUUUUAUCACGGAGAACAUAAAAUGCAGGUAAAAAUUAGUGUGAUGGCAGCACCCAACUGUGAACUGAUUCAUAUAUCUCCACUAUCUUCAACUUUUUUUUAUCAUCAAAAGCAGUAGAUGCAGUGGCAAGGAAACUUGAAGCUGUAUAAUAACUUAGCAUCUUAUUGACUAAAUGUCAACCUCCUCAAUUCCAUUAUUUCUUGGAGAUAAAUACAACAUCCUAUAUGUUUGGAUGCAUCAACAAGGAAACCCACUCAUCAUCACACAUGAAAGGAUGUAACUCCUCACUUUUUUCUAAAACAGUACUACAGAUUUUGGUAUAAUUGAAGUAGCUUGAGGAGGCAGUAGCACUAAAGCUAUCAUGGAAGCUACCGCUACUUCUAUAAAAACCAUCAGCUGCCUGAGGGAAAACUGAAUUUUGCAUGUUCUCCUCAGAACAAACACUUUUUGCAGCCUGAGGUGCUGGGUCAUUUCCACUGAAAUCUGAGGUGUCAUAAUCAAACAUAGCACUUGGUAGGACAGAAUAUGCAGAAUUAUUCAUUCCACUAGCAGGAACUUCAUCAGCAAAAAGAGAUCUGGUGCAUCGUAUGGCCUUGGUCCUUAUUACAUUAACUUCCACACCUUUUUGUUUAUCUGCAACUGCUUUAACUGUUUGUACUUCUCUAUUCUUUGAUGCAGGACUUGGGCUGCUGUGCAAGCCCUUUUUUCUGAGGUAGGUAUUCCAGUAGUUCUUUAUUUCAUUGUCUGUUCGCCCUGGUAAUCUUCCUGCUAUCAAGGACCAUCUGCUUGAAGGAAAAAUAUAAUGCAUUUGUUGACUUAUAAAACUGAAUAAAUUAUUGAUUUCAGUGGAAAUUCUUUUCACAAAAUUCCUUUCAAUGUUGCUGCUUGAGGAUCACUAUCAUUUGGCAUGUAUUCUCUGGCCUAGGAGCUUACGUUGUUUAUGAUUACAUUAUGAAUUAAUAUAUAGUGACCUUAUUUUAAACCUCAAGUUGUGCUUCUCACUGUGUCACUAUAUUCAAUGGAUUCUGGACUUUAUAAGAGAAUACAAUAAUAUGCAUAUGAAUUGUGUGCUGUGCCAUACUAUACUUCUGGUUUUGUAUGGCUGAUAUAGAAAUGAUAAAUUGGGAUUUUGGCUUUUUUGAUGUUUAUUGCUUUACAUCGAUAACACUCAUCUCCUUGUCAUUAUAUUUGACCAUUUUGCUACUUCACUAAAUUUGUUCAUAUAUUCUCCAAAAUUUUCCUUUGCACUCAAGUGUCAACAUUUUCUGUCCUGCUAAAUAUAUGCUAAGCAGUGUGAUAACAUUAUGUGCAACCCAAAUUAUGUGCUUGUGAUUUGUAUUCUUUCUACCCUUGUAAGAAGAAGAAAGCAUUGAGACCUUAAUUUUACCUAUUUCCAAGUAGAUUAUGAAGCCUGAUGAUAAGGUCCUCCUCUUCCUGGGUGAUAUUCCCCUUCUUGAUAUCAGGUCUAAGAUAAUUCAGCCACCUCAACCUGCAACUCUUACCACAUCUAUUCAAUCCUGCAAUAUCAAACCAGUGUUGUCACUGGCAUUAUCUUUUAACACCAAUACGGUUGUCCUUGAUUGAGUCAAAUAAUUUUUGAAAUUUGCUCUUAGAUUUACUAUGUGUCUUGGCAAAUGUGAGGUUGCCUUCUCAAUUCCAGCAACUUAGGGAAAAUUGGAGAUGGUCAGAAAUUAUUCCAUAUGUACUAGCAUGUCAUUAAACACAUUUCUCAAUUUUGGAAACUUUAACAUGAAUAUUAAACAAUGCUUCAGGUUGAUCCAGACUAGUCUCUGUUAAUUGAUUGUGGCAUACAAAAAAUUUCCAGCAAAUAUGUGAAAGAAAAGAAAUUACAGUUUUUAGCAUUGACUGCUUUAGGUUGCUGGAUUGGGAAGACUGAUAGUUUGCAUGAGGUUUCCAAGAGAUUGGAUGAGUGUAAAAGGGACACAAGACAUAAUCUGAAGCUUCAAAGAUCUGCUUCAGUAUCUGUUACUCUUAUUUUUCUCUGUAAUCUGAAACUAAGAUUUGUCAUCCAAAUCCUACAUGUAACAUGCAUGGACAUGCUUCAUGGAAAUAGUAUCUCCAUUUUGUGCUUCUCACUCACAGCUGUUAUUAAAUUGUUGGGCUUAGAAUUGCAGAAUCAAAUACUCUUACCGGCAUUGGCAGGCAGGCUUCUCCAUCUCCCAAGGCCAUGGGCCAAGAUGUAGUCUGAGAGAAGCUUGUCUUCUUCGCUUGUCCAAGCUCCCCUGUUCAGACCUUCCUUAGGACAACAGGAAGCCUUUCUCAUUCUUCUCUUUCUUCCAGUGUAACUCCUGUGGGUGAACUGAGCCAAAACAAUGAAGUUUAAAUACUUUGAGCUUUCAGGACAAUAUUCUUGCAGCAUUAAAUGCAGACUGCAAGACAGCUUUAAUGGCCCCGCAUUGUCUUAAGGUCAAGAAGAAAAAUCUUUCUGCAAGCAGUUGAAGCUGGUCUUCCAAAAGAACAGGUCUCUCCAUCAGCUUCAUCUAUGUCCAGUACCUACCUAUUUAACUUCCUUGGAUGGCAACUCAACAACCUUGGGAGAGUCCCUGAAAAGUAGAAGAUUUAAGAUGGGAGUUGGUUGCCUUCUUUUUUGCAUGCUCUUUAGGGUAUGUAGUUUGCAAAGUUGAUACCAGGGAUGAUACUAAUCUGGGAGUGUCCUUUCACAAGCCACCAACUUGCACAUUCUUAUUGUCAGAAGACCUUCUCACUUAGAAAAGAAAAAAGGGAACCAAAAUUUUGUUAGUCAUUCAAUUAGGUGGCUUGUGAUGGUCAUAAUGGCAAUGACACUCAAAGUUCUGGCCUGUUUCUUUUGCCUUGUUUCCAUAAGAACUCUCUUACUAACCAGUUCUGAAAAUGAAAAUAUUGUGCCAGGAAGAUUGUUGCAUCUUUGUCAAGAGUGGUUCAAUUCAUUCUUAUCCUUGCAACUGGAGAUGUUACUAUUCUCACUCUUGUCAAGAAGUUGAUGACAAUUUGCUUGUA